GCCCCUGUAGCUCAGCCGGAAGAGCGCCUCUCUCGUAAAGAGGAUGUCGCGGGUUCGACUCCUGCCAGGGGCUCAA
rnacentral:tRNA from 1 species